CCUACGGGAGGCAGCAGUGAGGAAUAUUGGUCACUGGGCGCGAGCCUGAACCAGCCAAGUCGCGUGAGGGAAGACGGCCCUACGGGUUGUAAACCUCUUUUGCCGGGGAGCAACGUGCGCCACGUGUGGCUCCACUUAUAGUACCCGGAGAAAAAGCCUCGGCUAACUCCGUGCCAGCAGCCGCGGUCAUACCGAGGAUGCGAGCGUUAUCCGGAUUUAUUGGGUUUAAAGGGUGCGUAGGCGGAGCGUUAAGUCAGUGGUCAAAUUGAGGGGCUCAACCCCUUCCCGCCAUUGAAACUGGCGCUCUUGAGUGGAAGAGAAGUAUGCGGAAUGCGUGGUGUAGCGGUGAAAUGCAUAGAUAUCACGCAGAACCCCGAUUGCGAAGGCAGCAUGCCGGCGUCCGACUGACGCUGAAGCACGAAAGCGUGGGGAUCGAACAGGAUUAGAUACCCCUGUAGUUC
rnacentral:rRNA from 1 species